GACAAGAAGGCUAGAAAGCUCAAUGCGUCUUCCUAUUACUCUGCAUAUCUUAUGUCUUCCAUCCAAAAAGAAUCAACUUAUCAGAUAAAUAACCACCUCAUGAACUAAGAUGAAUCAUGUUCCGGCUUUUGUCCUCCUGCUGCUCUUGCCUAAGGACAACAGAAGAGACACGAAGGAAUGUGACCAUCCCUAUCAUUGGCUUGAACAACUCUGGCAAAACUGUUCUUGUGGAGGCAUUCCAAAAAUUACUUCCCAGUAAGACAGACCAUUGCAUGAAAUCGGAACUGACUACACUUUUGUUAGAUGAGUAUGAACUUUCCAUCUAUGACCUGAAUGGAGACCUGAAGGGCCGGGAAGCAUGGCCAAACUACUAUGCACAGGCCCAUGGGCUUGUUUUCGUCCUGGAUUCCAGUGACAUAAGACGCAUGCAGGAAGUGAAGAUCAUCUUAACACAUCUGCUGUCCGAUAAAAGAGUGGCAGGGAAACCCAUCUUAAUUUUAGCAAACAAACAAGACAAGAAGAAAGCCCUCAUGCCUUGUGAUAUUAUUGACUAUCUACUUCUAAAGAAGCUAGUGAAAGAGAAUAAGUGCCCAUGCCGAGUAGAGCCAUGUUCAGCCAUCAGAAACCUUGAAAGAAGAAACCAUCAGCCCAUAGUUGAAGGACUGCGCUGGCUAUUAGCUGUCAUUGAUACUUGCCAACUACCACCUACCUCGAGCAUCUCAAUCUCCAAGAAUAACACAGGCUCUGGAGAAAGAUGCUCAUCACACAGCUUCUCCACCAGAACAGGAAUGUCAAAGGAGAAAAGACAGCAUCUAGAACAAUGCUCAAUCGAAGCUAAGCCUCUAAAGUCAAUCCUACAGAAAGAAGGUACGAGAUUAUGGUCUAAAAAGAAUAUGUCAGUAACAUUUGCUUUAGAUGAACCCAUGAAAGAAGGUGAAUGUUCUAGGAGAAUGAGAGCUCAGAAUACUACGAAGCUUUGCUACAAUUGAAGGAGUGGCUUAUAGACUCCAGCUCCAUAUGCUGAUGACAAUAUUUUUGAAGAGAAAGUAAAAGAAAGUAACAGAGAAAGUAAAGAGAAAAACAGAGGGAAACCAAAAGAAACAGUUGAUAUCCCUCCCUUAGCAAACAGGUUCAUCUCCAGAACUAUCAGGACUACCCGGUUUUUAAAUUUCCAUUUGAUAAUAUUUCUACACUCCCCAUACAACUCCACCUACUCUAAUAUCACAUCCCUGAGAACCCCUGUUGUUCCUGUAUAUCUAUAUUCUAGCCAUCAAAUCAAUCCUAUACUCACUGAGAGGCUCAAGAAGAGUGAGAUGGCAUCCAUUGAGAAUGAAGACCACCUUGGUAAAAAAGAACAGAGACUUUACAUCUUUGUACCGAGAUGCUGCUGACAAAGCUUGUGGACAAUAAGUCAUGGGUGAUCAACCAAAACUGAGCCUUAGAAAUACAGGGUUCAUUUAGAAAUAAGUAUUUUUUUCUUUAAGGUUCUUAGGCAGAAAAGGAUUGGCAAAAAUAAAUAGAACUUCUUUGCUGAGAA